GGGCGCGUAGCUCAGCUGGUUAGAGCGCCUGCUUCACACGCAGGAGGUCACAGGUUCGAGUCCUGUCGCGCCCACCA
rnacentral:tRNA from 2 species